CUGCACUCAAUGCUGGUUACAGGUGUGGAUGAAGUGUGAGCUCUCUGCUUCCUGACUAUGAGGCUGCCUCAUGCUCCCGCUGCCAGGCCUUCCUCUAGCGUGAUGGACUCUAUCCCUCUGAAACUUUACCAAAGCCGCACCACCUCCUGGAUUCUCAGCCUCAGAGACGGACAGUUGGCAGCCGGUGGAAUGGAGGCUUUCGGCGGCAGAAUCGUGGCUCUGAGCAGAGAGCAUCAACUCUCGCCUCCUGACACUCUGCCAGUCUGCGGUCAGUACAGCCUGACAUGUCUCACAGACUAUCAUGUUGCUUUGGGAGGGCUUUGGGGGUGUCAGAAAGUAACUUGCAAAGGCAGGCGCAAGCCAGGCCAUCCUUGUGGGGACCUGGUGUUCCCUCUCUCUAUGCGUUGUCCACUCUUCACUGCCAAUGGCACCGGAUGGAAUUUCGUGGGUAUGACAAAGUUAUGAAAACUGUCUGGCAGUUUCACACCAUUCUCAGGAAGUUCCAACAUGGAGUUACGUCACUGGAGGGGCCUUUCCACCCGGGAUAUGUGGAAGCAGCCUUUCACCCACAGGACUCCUUACAGUGUGGCAUGCAGAGGAACCCCACCAGGACAUGUGGACCAGGAGGUGUGUGUGACCAGGAGGCUGAGCAGAACUUCAAGCAGAGGGAGCUGGCGUCAAAGGGAGCCGCUCGCAGCUCUGCAGCAGCGAACAUGGUAAAGCCCUCCUGGGCCUGGGGCACAGGCUCUGUUGGUGGAAUGCGUGCCUGUCAUUCGUGAAGUCCUGGGUUCCCGAAGCUUCACAGACGGAGUGUGGUGGUGCAGGCCUGUGAGCCCACCCCAGGAGGUGAAGGUAGGAAGAUCAGAAGUUCAAGGCCAGCCUGCACUAGAUUAGUCUCUCUUCCCAAUACAUAAGUGCGCGCAUGGCUGUGUGAGUGUUUGUGUGAGUGUGUGCAUGUGUACCUCUGUGUGUUUGCAUAUGUGCAUGUGAGCAUGUGUGUGUGUGUGUGUGUGUACAUAA